UGGGGAAUAUUGGACAAUGGGGGGAACCCUGAUCCAGCCAUGCCGCGUGUGUGAAGAAGGCCUUAUGGUUGUAAAGUACUUUAAGCGAGGAGGAGGGUACUGGUAUUAAUACUACCAGCUACUGGUCGUUACUCGCAGAAUAAGCACCGGCUAACUCUGUGCCAGCAGCUUCGGUAAUACAGAGGGUGCGAGCGUUAAUCGGAUUUACUGGGCGUAAAGCGUGCGUAGGCGGCUAAUUGAGUCGGAUGUGAAAUCCCCGAGCUUAACUUGGGAAUUGCAUUUGAUACUGGUUAGCUAGAGUGUGGGAGAGGAUGGUAGAAUUCCAGGUGUAGCGGAGAAAUGCGUAGAGAUCAGGAGGAAUACCGAUGGCGAAGGCAGCUAUCUGGCCUAACACUGACGCUGAGGUACGAAAGCAUGGGGAGCAAACAGG
rnacentral:rRNA from 1 species